rnacentral:rRNA from 1 species
AUGUGCGAGUCCGCCUCCCUACUAGCUGCAGCCGGAAACCAAGAUGGCCACCACCAAGGGGAAAUCAAGACAGCCGAGAUGGACACGAGUGGCCUGCUGGACCCUUCCUCGGCAGCCCUCGGCCCGAGCCCUCUUCCCACGCCGCCUCCACCGCUCGUGUUCUACGAAGACGAUUACCGGUACUACUACGACGACGACAGUUGCUUCCAGGAGAACCAGGAGGGCGACGACGACGCCUAUCAACUCCUCGAGGACGAGGAGGAGGACGUCGCCGCCACCGGGUCGCUUGCUGCCAGGCUACGUGAGCUCGUCCGCCAGAAGCUGGCCGAGGUGAACGCCUCCAGCGCGGUCGUCGCGGGGCUCGGCCUCGUCGGGAGCGCCGUCGGCGCCUACUUCCUCUGGCCCGCGGCCGCGGCCACCGCCACCGCCGCCACCAUGGCAGCACCCGGGGCCGCCGGUUUCCUCAUCUCCCGUGCGGCGUUUGCGGCCAAGCCGAAGCUCUACUUCCAGAUCCUCCGCACUGCCGGAGCGGCAGCGGCUGCCGCCGCUUUCGCCCUGUAG